rnacentral:tRNA from 1 species
GGAUAUGUAGUAGUAGGUACUACACAAUGAUUGCAAAUCAUUUAAAUAAGGUUCAAGUCCUUCAUAUCUC